rnacentral:SRP_RNA from 1 species
GGCGGGCCUCCCCGCAUUGCAAGAUGGUGAAUCUGGUCAGGUCCGGAAGGAAGCAGCCACAGCCGUUUAUUGCGAGUGCCGGGGGUCUGGCUCGCCACCCAACA